rnacentral:rRNA from 1 species
GACGAACGCUGGCGGCGCGCUUAACACAUGUAAGUCGAACGGAAAGGCCUGCUUUCCCUUGUGGAUUGCGGGUACUCGAGUGGCGAACGGGUGAGUAACACGUGAGUGAUCUGCCCCCAACUUGGGUAUAAGCCUGGGAAACUGGGUCUAAUUCCCGAUAGGACUGCAGGGUGGUGCCUGUGGUGGAAAACGAUUUUCUAGUGGUUGGGGAUGAGCUCGCGGCCUAUCAGCUUGUUGGUGGGGUAAUGGCCUACCAAGGCGGCGACGGGUAGCCGGCCUGAGAGGGUGGACGGCCACAUUGGGACUGAGAUACGGCCCAGACUCCUACGGGAGGCAGCAGUGGGGAAUAUUGCACAAUGGGCGGAAGCCUGAUGCAGCGACGCCGCGUGGGGGAUGACGGCCUUCGGGUUGUAAACUCCUUUCGACCGCGAGGAAGCCACCUGGUUGGAAGGGUGGUGACGGUAGUGGUAGAAGAAGCACCGGCUAACUACGUG